GGUAGGCCUGUGGCCACUUGGGCUUAAGGCGGAACUGUUUCUUCUGUGAUUGGGCGAAGUCCCUGACAAUCAGGGCGGAGCCAGCGAAGGCUCGGCCAAUGGCUGGAGGCGGCCAGGUCAGCCCAGCGACUAACUGAAGCGCGGUGGUCGUUAGACUGUUGGAGGGUAGCACACGACAUCCUAACUGUCCGCAGGCCCUCGGCGUCUAGCGCCCGCCGGCGGCUCCUCUCGUCAUGUCAGGCACUGCUUGACUUUAGUUCUUCAGGCCUCCGCCCACCCGCCUACCCGAAGCCGCGCCCACCGCCCAGAGCCAGAGGGAUGGUGGUAGUCAACGGGCGGGAGCCAGACAGCCGUCACUCGGACGGUGCCAUGUCCAGCUCCGAAGCCGAAGACGACUUCCUGGAGCCGGCUACUCCUACGGCCACGCAAGCGGGGCACGGGCUGCCCCUGCUGCCCCAGGAGUUUCCUGAGGUCGUCCCCCUUAACAUCGGAGGGGCUCACUUUACCACUCGCCUGUCUACUCUGCGGCGCUAUGAAGACACCAUGCUGGCAGCCAUGUUCAGCGGGCGGCAUUACAUCCCUACAGACUCGGAGGGUCGGUACUUCAUCGACCGAGAUGGCACACACUUUGGAGAUGUGCUGAAUUUCCUGCGAUCAGGGGACCUGCCACCCCGGGAGCACGUGCGAGCUGUGCACAAAGAGGCCCAGUACUACGCCAUUGGGCCCCUCCUGGAGCAGCUGGAGAACAUGCAGCCACUGAAGGGCGAGAAGGUGCGCCAGGCCUUCCUGGGGCUCAUGCCCUAUUACAAAGACCAUUUGGAGCGGAUCGUGGAGAUUGCCCGGCUUCGCGCAGUACAGCGGAAGGCCCGCUUUGCCAAGCUCAAAGUCUGCGUCUUCAAGGAAGAGAUGCCCAUCACCCCCUAUGAGUGUCCACUCCUUAACUCCCUCCGCUUUGAGCGGAGUGAGAGUGACGGACAGCUCUUUGAGCACCACUGUGAAGUGGACGUGUCUUUUGGGCCCUGGGAGGCAGUGGCUGACGUGUACGACCUCUUGCACUGCCUGGUCACGGACCUCUCAGCCCAGGGCCUCACGGUGGACCACCAGUGUAUCGGAGUGUGUGACAAGCACCUUGUCAACCACUACUACUGCAAACGCCCCAUCUAUGAGUUCAAAAUCACAUGGUGGUGAAUUGUCCUGGGAAACAAGAAUCCCACAAAGGAGGAUGUCCAUCCUCUUGGGUGACUCUGGGAGUCUGAUCCCCACAGGGGCUGCUGACUGUCCCAGAAGCUGCUGAGGUGAGGACAGAGCGCUGAGGCGCAGAUGUGGAAAGAGGCCUGGGUGCUGCUGUAGUCUCCUGUUCGUGUACCUUGGGGACUUGGUCUGCUCUCAUCUGGUCUUCUCAAGGCCUGGCCGUCUUCACUGGAAGCCACAAGAUGUAGCAAGAUUGGCACUGGGAGUCCAGAGAGCUUUUGAUAACCUUUUUUUGAUGCACUGCAGGAGAGCUCGUGCCCGCCCCUGACAGAGGGAGAUAUCACUGCCUCGAACCUUCCUGUGCUCAGUGUGUCAGUGACUUGCAGUACCUUGUCUUAGGAUGCAGAAAGAUAUGUCCCGUGCUCCCAGAACAUGCCUGUCACCUUCUCUUGGAGAUUAACCAUAGCUGCCAAAGCCAUGUACCAAGUUGGGCCUUAGAAAAACCACAAUGUUUACAGCCCUGCCCUGAAGCUUUAGAUUAUUAUCCCUUCUUUGCAGGGUUCUCCUCUCACAGGGCUGGAAUGUUAAGUUCUAAAGGUUCUUUCUGAAGAUUCCCCAAGUCAGGCAGACAAGGAGCCUGGAUCCCCUUGGUAUGUGAGAUCUCUCUCUGAUAUUAAGAAGACAGGGCCUCGCCGCUGAGUCUCAUGUAGGGAGCCAGUGUGGUGAACCUCUCUUCUCUGGAAGGGAUGCUUUCUCGCUCUCUCUCUCUCUUCAAUAGGUUUUGUUUAGUGGGGGGUGGGGGCUUGCUCUGCAGUCAGGGGCAAUAAGACAGGGUACAACAUGGACCCCCUAAAGAGAGAGCUGUAUAGCUUCCUCUGAGAGCAUUGCAUGUCCAGGCUACACUAUGGGUUCUAAGUAGUCAUGGGUCCUUGCCUAUUUCUGGAUAAUACUUUUCUUAUGGAACUUUUUUUUAAAAUUUUUUUUUUUGUGUGUAAGGAAUUGUUAAGGGAAGCAUUGCCAAGCUCAGACCUGUAGGAUCAGAGUGGUGCAGUCAGACAGUUGAGGGUUAAGAGCACCCUUGUGCUUUUGAGGAAUAUAAGGCCUGGCCCUUCUGGGUCUGAGCUAAAUUCCUCUGUGUAGCUGGAGGGUAGUGAGUUUCCCUAACUCUCGUGGAAACACGAGGUUUUGAACUUGUGUCUCUGAGUAUAACAGAGAUAGAGGUGAGGUCCAAGAGGGAGUGCGGGUCAGUCGUCGUCCAGGACACCUGCUCUCUCUGUUCUCCUCAGCAAACAAUGCAUCCUCUGAGGUCUGGCGCCCCUGCUUGGCGCUUGGCCCAGCACUGUGGCUCUGUUUCAGCAAAGGUGUCCCUUAUUUCAACUGAUUUUAUUUUUAUUUUUAUUUUUCGGACAGGGUCUCAUGUAGCCCAGGCUGGCCUCAUAUUAGCUGUAGAACUAAGGAUGAUCUUCUACCCUUGACCUUCCUGCUUCUACCUCCGAAGCUCGGGGGACACAGGCAUGUCCCCCCUCACCUAGCUCCUGUGUUCAUGGUCUAGAGAGCUAGCGAAUACACCGUUCAGGUGAUGUCCACGUGGGUAGAAAGUGGACAGUUAAGCCCGGGGCAUUUAGUAAUUGAGCCAGGAGUUCUUCUCUUCCUGUUCUAGAAUAUCGCACCACUCGGAAAAUUAGAAUCCAUAAAUACAAGACAGAGAGAAAACUGAUCUGCUCAAAAAACCGGGCCCAGACGGAUUGCUAAAGGUUACAGGAUGCUGGGUAAAGACAUUGUCUUUAUGACUUGCUGGAGAGAGACACUGUUUUUCUGUCCCCUUUUUUAUUCUCAGGAUGAUAUGGUUUGAACCACUGGGACAAGAGAAAGGUCUAGGCUGCUGGCAGAGGCAGAGGCGGGGCACAAGACAGUCAGCUCAGAAAUCCCCCCCCCCUUUUUUUUUAGGUAAUUGGCUUGAUAUUUAUGGAAUUAGGGAGCAAACCAUGUACUGAAGUCUUUUUUUAAAAAAAAAUAACAAAACCCUUUGCAUUCUUUUUUUUUUUUUCUUUUUUUCGGAGCUGGGGACCGAACCCAGGGCCUUGCGCUUGCUAGGCAAGCGCUCUACCACUGAGCUAAAUCCCCAACCCCAACCCUUUGCAUUCUUAAGCCAGUGACUUGUACACUGUCUUGCCGCACAGAAACUUUUCUUUGUACUACAAAAUAUAUUUAUUAUAAUUCUAAUUCUCCCUUGACUAGUACAAUAGAAAUAUGAAAUAAAGCAAUAUAUAUUGGGAUUUGGGAUGUGCUUCAUGGUGGAAUAUCAGCCACGAGGCCCUGGGUUCCCUUUCAAGCACUGCCAGGGGAGGGGGAGGAGGGAGGAGGGAGGAGGGGGGAGGGGGGUAGUAUCAGGUCAAAGUGUAUCUUUGCUAUUUGGACUCUCUCCUCACUAGCCUUCUUUACCCUCUCGGAACUUCUCUUAAAUGGAAUAAAAGAAUUCAUGACCUGGUUUGGCUCUCUAAGGAGAAA